GUAGGUGGCAAGCGUUGUCCGGAAUUAUUGGGCGUAAAGCGCGCGCAGGCGGUUUUUUUAAGUCUGAUGUGAAAGCCCACGGCUCAACCGUGGAGGGUCAUUGGAAACUGGAGAACUUGAGUACAGAAGAGGAAAGCGGAAUUCCACGUGUAGCGGUGAAAUGCGUAGAGAUGUGGAGGAACACCAGUGGCGAAGGCGGCUUUCUGGUCUGUAACUGACGCUGAGGCGCGAAAGCGUGGGGAGCAAACAGGAUUAGAUACCCUGGUAGUCCACGCCGUAAACGAUGAGUGCUAAGUGUUAGGGGGUUUCCCGCCCCCCUUAGUGCUGCAGCUAACGCAUUAAGCACUCCGCCUGGGGGAGUACGGCCCGCAAGGCUG
rnacentral:rRNA from 1 species